GCCUCCUCAAGGUCCCAGGGCAGCUGAGGCUGGUACAAGGGUUCAGAACAGCCAGACUCACCAGCAUCGUGUGGGGCUACAUGGUUUUCGUCCAUCCUGUCUCUCUGCUGAACGAGUGUUUGGCCAUGGUGCUCGUUCCAGGAAGGUUGUCAGCCCUCUGGAUGGUGCAAAAAAGAAAGCUCCAAACUGUCUGAAAUGGACACCUCUGUCAGUCAGGCCAGAGAAAUGCCUCCCAGGGCAGGGGCAGGAGGGGGAGUUCUGGGAAGCCUUCAGUGAUGUAUCGUUGAACUGCUCUAAUCCAGUGCUGGCCAAGGAGGGAUUUAGUGGUCCUGGCUCCACACAUCUCAUUCACAUUGUCCUUCCCAAGGACAGCUGAACAUCUGCUGCCCAUAGGUAACUCCAGGCCGCCGCACGGCCCCGCUCCCAGCUUGGGUGUGAAACCUCUGCCUGCCUCCAUCCCCGCCGACCUGUGCCUGGAGCUUUCAAGUGGCUGUUUUCAUCCUUCUCGGGGCCGUCUGUGAGCAUUCCAAGGGUUGAUUAAAAGGUACCAUCACUGCAAAACA